GUGUCAGCAGCCGAGCGGGCGCUCGGGCGGGACAUGGCUGGUUGUGUGGCCCGACGGGCCCUAGCAGUGGGCAGCCGCUGGUGGUCUCGGUCGCUGGCCACGACCCGAGGGUCGAGGCCACUGUGUGCGGUCGGUGGAGCAGGGGGCCUUCCGCCGGUGGCCACAGCGACGACCCGAAGGCAUCUGUCGUCCCGGUGAGGGACGGAGAGAGGGGGCCAGGGAGCCGGGCCCAGAAUCUAGGGAGCGUUUUCUACCUAGCUACUAAGGAAGCCAGGAGGCCUGACUCUGUUUGGGCAGCCGGAGUGCCACCUGAGAAAGGGUCCCGAGGAGAGAGCCGACACGGGCUGCUUGGGACAUGUGCCAAGAGCAAAGAAGGGAGCACUGCCCAGGGCCCUGGCAGUGCAGGGCAGCUCCGAGGGAGAACAAGUAACGCUUCUUAGGCGAAUCCUGCCUCCCAGGCUGGGGUCCCCGGCACCUGGAGUGGGCUGCCAUUUAAUACAACUACAGGGAUCCCCGGGCCCUUUUGGGAACCGUGCAGAGGGCAAAGUGCUGGAGACAGUUGGUGUGUUUGAGGUGCCAAAACAAAAUGGAAAAUAUGAGACUGGGCAGCUAUUCCUCCAUAGUGUUUUUGGCUACCGAGGGGUCGUCCUGUUUCCCUGGCAGGCCAGACUGUAUGACCGGGAUGUGGCUUCUGCAACUCCAGAAAAAGCAGAGAACCCUGCCGGCCAUGGCUCUAAGGAGGUGAAAGGCAAAACUCACACUUACUACCAAGUGCUGAUUGAUGCCCGUGACUGCCCACAUAUAUCUCAGAGAUCUCAGACAGAAGCUGUGACCUUCUUGGCUAACCAUGAUGACAGCCGGGCGCUCUAUGCUAUCCCAGGGUUGGACUAUGUCAGCCAUGAAGACAUCCUCCCCUACACCUCCACGGAUCAGGUUCCCAUUCAACACGAGCUCUUUGAAAGAUUUCUUCUGUAUGACCAGACAAAAGCACCUCCUUUUGUGGCUCGAGAAACGCUGCGGGCCUGGCAAGAGAAGAAUCACCCGUGGCUAGAGCUCUCUGACGUGCACAGGGAGACCACCGAGAACAUCCGCGUCACAGUCAUCCCUUUCUACAUGGGCAUGAGGGAAGCCCAGAAUUCCCACGUCUACUGGUGGCGCUAUUGUAUACGCUUGGAAAACUUGGACAGUGAUGUGGUACAGCUCCGGGAGCGGCACUGGCGGAUAUUCAGUCUCUCAGGGACCCUGGAAACAGUUCGAGGACGAGGGGUGGUGGGCAGGGAACCAGUGUUAUCCAAGGAGCAGCCUGCAUUCCAGUAUAGCAGCCAUGUCUCUCUGCAAGCUUCCAGUGGGCACAUGUGGGGCACAUUUCGUUUUGAGAGACCGGAUGGCUCCCACUUUGAUGUCCGGAUCCCACCAUUCUCCUUGGAAAGCAAUAAAGAUGAGAAGACCCCACCCUCAGGCCUUCACUGGUAGGCCAGCUGAGGCCCAGGUUGGCCCUAAGAACAACAGCUCUCAACCCAUAAUUGCUGCAGAACUCUAAACCUCUCCCUACUGUGAAAUUCUUUUUUUGGAGGGAGAUUGUAACUUUUCUUGGAAGACCCACAUAAGACUCCUCCAAGGUUGGCCUUGGCCGCUGUCCAGGACACCACGUUCCAGCAAAGCUGUCAGGGAACUGUUCAGUUGUCCCAUGUUUUCUGGAAUGUGAGGUGUGGUCAAUAAACCAGUGCUCACUUGGCCACCACGGCCAUUUUUGUCUCCAGGGUCUCAGGCCCCCUUGCUGGCCCUUUAGGAACUCUUAGUUGCUUUUCAUGCAAAGUUUCUUCUAGGGAGCUGCUGGCCCUGCUAGGGUGCGCCUUCCUCAGAGGCUGGACAUCUUGGGGCACUGGUAACAGUGAGCAGCACUGGACUAAGUUCCGGGUCUCUCUACCCUCCGCCCAGUGUAGAGGAGGCCAGUGUAGAGUUGGACUGACCUGACUAUAGACACGGAUUACCCACCAGCACUUCUGGCUUCACUAGGCCUGGAGAAGAGUGAGGCAAAACCAGUCAGGUUUCUGGGAACUGUGGGCUUCUGAGCAUUGAGCAAAGCCUGUCAAGCAUCCAGACCACAGGGGCAGGAAUUCAGCCAAGAAGCAGCUUAAGUUAUGGUCAGUGACCAAGUCAAGCUGCUUUUGGAGCUUCUUUCAGGCCAACAGGAGCCAGAGAAUUGGACUGCAUUUUGCCCCAGGUCUUAGGAUUCCUUCACCACUAUAGUUACUGUUAGAGGUCCUUUCAUUCUUGCAUUAUUAAAUCUCAGUUCUAGUC